GUUUCCCUACGGGAGCAGCAGUAAGGGAUAUUGGUCAAUGGGGGAAACCCUGAACCAGCAACGCCGCGUGAGGGAAGACGGUUUUCGGAUUGUAAACCUCUGUCCUCUGUGAAGAUGAUGACGGUAGCAGAGGAGGAAGCUCCGGCUAACUACGUGCCAGCAGCCGCGGUAAUACGUAGGGAGCGAGCGUUGUCCGGAUUUACUGGGUGUAAAGGGUGCGUAGGCGGCUUGGCAGGUCAGUAGUGAAAUCCAUGGGCUUAACCCAUGAACUGCUAUUGAAACUGUCGAGCUUGAGUGAAGUAGAG
rnacentral:rRNA from 1 species